AAUAGUUGUAUCUCUGCGCCGUCUCAACGCGAGUCCUUUUCCUUGCUCAAGUUCCAUGUUGUGUCGGUUUCAUUUGAUUUAUUUGUAGUAGUAUUUCAAAGGCUAUGUGAGCAACAUAGCCGAAGUUAGGAGAGACUUACUCGGACCUCGUGUUUUAUAACUUUUCUUCUGAAUCCAGGUAAAGACCCGGCCUGAGCAUCUGAGGUUUAUUGAUAUUCUGCUCAUUUCCUGCAUGCAAACCGAUGCUAAAACGGAAAUUUUAAUGUUUCACGUAUGACCCAUAAGGUAUGAAAAUAUAUCUGAGGGCGGGUGUCGCGUGCACCGCAACGCAUUUAUUCAUUGAGUUCUCUAUCUCCCUUUCUCCCAUAUUUUCGGUCUCUCACUAUGAAUUUUCAAAACCAAGCAUCGAGCAAGCUUCACUUACUCGUUGCUGUGAUCAGUCGCCCGCAUCUUUCUUUAUUAUACUUUUUUAUUACACAGCGGCACAAGAUGGAUUGAUUGAUAAAACUCUUUCGAGGCUGAGCUUCAAUUUCUGGACUUAGAGAACUUCACUUCGGUUUUCUCCACCAAGCACAGCCAACCUCAGUGCUCCCGAUAGUCAGUCCUAUGUAACGAUUCCAUUUCUUAAAUACACGCGAAUCAUGCGUCACUCAAAAACUCUUUCGUCUAUUUUUCUUGCUCUCCCACAUACCUAUAACUCUACCACCACGAUUAGUUUUUUUAGAUGUUUCAGUUCGUCUAGCUAAGCUUAAAAAAUCCAUAAUCGCGACAGCGGGCCGUCAAUAAAUGAUGUAAGAACAUUUAUCUCCCUCCCACAUCGACAGAACCAGGCUAGAUACCCCUUGACCCCUUCUCCACUCUCCUUAAAUUCUGACGUGAUUUAUAUUAAACGUGUAUUUUUAGUGCAAUAUUCAAUAUCUUCCACUACAAACACCAUACAUAGCUUACUAAAGAAGUCUCUACUUCGUACACUGGCUCUCAAUGUCAUUGUGUUGAUCUGACAACAUAUGCAUUUGCCAAUAUCUAUCGUGUAUUUUUCCAGCUCUGUUCUCAAAUCAUUGAACACUAUAAAAAUGAUGAUUGAGAACAAAGGCAUGGACAGCAGUAAGAAAAAAAAAAAAAAGAAAAAAAAAACUGUACAAUAAGUAAACAUAUUUUUUGCAUAUAAAGUGGACGAUGAGGAAUUCCAUGGCUAGAGGAGUGACUAAAAAUGGGAUUCAAAGUGUUGCACAUGAGAAAAAAGAAAGAAAAAAAAACAAGAAACGAAACUAAACUGUGUCACAUCUGGCAAUGUAUAGGUAACAAAAGCAAAAGUAAAAUUAUAAAAUUAAAACACAAAAAUAAGCAUGCAACUUGAUUUUUUUGAUCAUGCAGAUUGUUUUCAUCUUUUUUUCUCCUUUU
rnacentral:lncRNA from 1 species